GUCCGGGCAAGCGCUUCCAUCACAGGCUGCUCCUCUCUCCCCCCCAGUCGUGGCAGGAAAUGGCAGGGAUGCGGCGGCAUCGCGUCGAGGCCGUCCUACUGCGCGUCACGUCAGACAACGUCAUCCACCGAUUUGGGCACCUGACACCCCAGCAAGAAAGAAUGAGACACCAAAGCCACGGCAGGUGCAUCUGUGCAAAGUUCAGUUGGCGUCCUCAAACGGUAUUUGUAGGUUGCCAAGAGGUGAAAGUAGACGCAAAGCCCAGCAGUGGGGAAGCCUGAGCAUACGGCGGGUCCAGGGCAGACGUCCCCAGAAGACAGCGCCAGCCUCAGAACCGUC